AUUGAACGCUGGCGGCAUGCCUUACACAUGCAAGUCGAACGGUAACGCGGGGCAACCUGGCGACGAGUGGCGAACGGGUGAGUAAUGCAUCGGAACGUGCCCAGUUGUGGGGGAUAACUGCUCGAAAGAGCAGCUAAUACCGCAUACGACCUGAGGGUGAAAGCGGGGGAUCGCAAGACCUCGCGCAAUUGGAGCGGCCGAUGUCGGAUUAGCUAGUUGGUGGGGUAAAGGCCCACCAAGGCGACGAUCCGUAGCUGGUCUGAGAGGACGACCAGCCACACUGGGACUGAGACACGGCCCAGACUCCUACGGGAGGCAGCAGUGGGGAAUUUUGGACAAUGGGCGCAAGCCUGACCCAGCCAUGCCGCGUGCGGGAAGAAGGCCUUCGGGUUGUAAACCGCUUUUGUCAGGGAAGAAAUCCUCUGGGUUAAUACCUCGGGGGGAUGACGGUACCUGAAGAAUAAGCACCGGCUAACUACGUGCCAGCCGCCGCGGUAAUAC
rnacentral:rRNA from 1 species